GCCUGUUACCCUCACUUGCAUCUUUGAUCUUGCCUGUCUACCAUCCCAUGAUUGCUUUCUUUUGUUUAUGUACUUGGAAUAAUUACCUGUGCACUGUUGGAUGUAUUUCAUUUCAGUUCUGGACUUGCCACUUGGAUUGUUGGACAUGUGAACCUACCACCUCACUUGAGGACUGACCAUGAUGGACCCAGCAGACGCUAUUUCUGAUGAACUUUUGGACUUUGUUUGUGAUCUAAUAGAGUUAAAGGCAAUAUAGAGAAAGGCCAUCACUAUCAUUCAUAGAGAAGCAGUUUUGUCCUUCGUUAGUCCUGAUCCUGUCCAGCUUCACUGUCUGCUAGCACCCAGCCUGCCAGAAACCAGCCUAUUGGCCACUAGCCUUUGCUCUGACCUAGUAGCAAUCUGCCUACAUCCGUGCCUGCUAGCAGCCAGCCAGUUAUGCAGUCUGCAAGCAUCCAGGCCACCAGCCUCCAGCUUGCUAUCAGUCUGCUUCAGCUGGCCAGCGCUCCAGAAACUGUGCUAGCCAGAUUCCCAGAAACAUUGAUGGCCAGCUCCACAGAGACUCAGGUGACCAGCGCCUCAGAGAUUAUGCUAUUCAGCCUCCCAGAGACUAAACUGGCCAGCUGAACAGCUUAACAGUAAUUCAGUUGCCCUGUGUUCCAGAGACUCAGCUGAUCUGCUCUUCAGAGACUUCUCCAUCCAGCUUCACAUAGACUCAGCUGAUUACCAAGCGAGAGACUCAGUUGCUCUGUUCCACUGGAUUGUCACCAGUUUUGUCUGGUUCUCAGACAAAUGCUGGCCUGCAGCAACACCCUGACUUUGUUGAGCUACUGCUACUUCCUGUCACUACUGAGUUUAAGCAACCCCACGUCCCUGAGCGAGAACUGCAGCCAUCCCUACUCCCUCCUGCCUAACUCCCUGUUGUAGCCAAUCUCCAAUCCUGUUGCCCUGUCGCUGGCCUUCAGCUCUGACUCCAGAUACCAGCUAACCAGCCCAGCUGCUCUGUCACUGGCCUCCAGUCCAGCAAUCCUGCCUCCUGGCUGCCCUCCCUCUUGUUCUGUUCUGUUCUUUGACUCAGACUCCUGGUCCUGGUUUUCAGUCACGUCGCCGGCCUGGGAGCCAUUCCUUGAUGGGGGCAAGUAAAAAUAAGAAAACUGAACUUGCUGGCUUGGUGUUCCUGCGUCUGGGUCCAAAUCCCUGUUUUUCCCCUGUCUGCCCUCUAGUAAUUCCCAAAAUGUCAAACAAUUCCUUUACAAAAAUACAAGUGGAUGGUUCCCAGCUACAAAUAAAAAAGAAGAGACAGAAUUUGAUUAAAGUUUAAUUUUCAGUGACAAAAUCAAAAAUAACAGUAUUCAAAGGAAGUAAAGUCUUCAACAACCCUG